AGAGUUUGAUCCUGGCUCAGAACGAACGCUUGCGGCGCGCCUAAUACAUGCAAGUCGAACGAGGUAGCAAUACCAAGUGGCGCACGGGUGAGUAACGCGUGGAUAAUCUACCCUUCAGUGGGGAAUAACCAUCCGAAAGGAUGGCUAAUACCGCAUGAGGCCACAGUUCCUGCGGGAACAGAGGUUAAAGAUUUAUCGCU
rnacentral:rRNA from 1 species